ACAGACAGAUCGGUCAGCUUGGGUACCACUCUCAGAUUCACAAGAAAAUACAGUUAUUACUAAGCUUUCAUCAAGCAUGAAUGAAAACAAAAAG